CCUACGGGAGGCAGCAGUAGGGAAUAUUGCUCAAUGGGGGAAACUCUGAAGCAGCAACGCCGCGUGGAGGAUGAAGGUUUUAGGAUUGUAAACUCCUUUUGUUAGAGAAGAUAAUGACGGUAUCUAACGAAUAAGCACCGGCUAACUCCGUGCCAGCAGCCGCGGUAAUACGGCGGGUGCAAGCGUUACUCGGAAUCACUGGGCGUAAAGGGCGCGUAGGCGGGUUAGCAAGUCAGAUGUGAAAUCCUAUGGCUUAACCAUAGAACUGCAUUUGAAACUGUCAGUCUAGAGUAUGGGCGAGGUAGGUGGAAUGCAUGGUGUAGCGGUAAAAUGCAUAGAGAUCA
rnacentral:rRNA from 1 species